rnacentral:rRNA from 1 species
CCCUUAGAUGUUCUGGGCCGCACGCGCGUUACAAUGAUGCACUCAACAGGCAUAUAACCUUGGCCGAGAGGCCUGGGUAAUCCCGUUAACUUGCAUCGUGUUAGGGAUAGAUUAUUGCAAUUAUUAAUCUUGAACGAGGAAUUCCUAGUAAUCGCAGAUCAUCAAUCUGCAAUGAUUACGUCCCUGCCCUUUGUACACACCGCCCGUCGCACCUACCGAUUGAAUGGUCCGGUGAAAUCUCGGGACGGCGGCUUGGUCGCUUGCGUCCGACUGCUGAAACUUGAUUAAACCAUAUCAUUUAGAGGAAGGUGAAGUCGUAACA